rnacentral:rRNA from 1 species
UACAGAGGAUGCAAGCGUUAUCCGGAAUGAUUGGGCGUAAAGCGUCUGUAGGUGGCUUUUUAAGUCCGCCGUCAAAUCCCAGGGCUCAACUCUGGACAGGCGGUGGAAACUACCAAGCUGGAGUACGGUAGGGGCAGAGGGAAUUUCCGGUGGAGCGGUGAAAUGCGUAGAGAUCGGAAGGAACACCAGCGGCGAAAGCGGCUUCCUGGUCCGACACCGACGUUCAGGCACGAAAGCGUGGGGAGCAAACAGG